CUGCCUCAUACAGGGGGAUAACAGUUAGAAAUGACUGCUAAUACCGCAUAAGCACCCGGGAGCGCAUGCUCCUGAGUGAAAAGCUCCGGCGGUAUGAGAUGGAUCCGCGUCUGAUUAGCUGGUUGGCGGGGUAACGACCCACCAAGGCGACGAUCAGUAGCCGACCUGAGAGGGUGGCCGGCCACAUUGGGACUGAGACACGGCCCAAACUCCUACGGGAGGCAGCAGUGGGGAAUAUUGCACAAUGGGGGAAACCCUGAUGCAGCAACGCCGCGUGGGUGAAGAAGUAUUUCGGUAUGUAAAGCCCUAUCAGCAGGGAAGAGAAUGACGGUACCUGACUAAGAAGCCCCGGCUACCUACGUGCCAGCAGCCGCGGUAAUACGUAGGGGGCAAGCGUUAUCCGGAUUUACUGGGUGUAAAGGGAGCGUAGACGGUUGUGCAAGUCUGAAGUGAAAGCCCGCGGCUCAACUGCGGAACGGCUUUGGAAACUGUGUAACUGGAGUGCUGGAGAGGUAAGCGGAAUUCCUGGUGUAGCGGUGAAAUGCGUAGAGAUCAGGAGGAACACCGGCGGCGAAGGCGGCUUACUGGACAGUAACUGACGUUGAGGCUCGAAAGCGUGGGGAGCAAACAGGAUUAGAUACCCUGGUAGUCCACGCGGUAAAC
rnacentral:rRNA from 1 species